UACGUAGGGGGCAAGCGUUGUCCGGAAUCAUUGGGCGUAAAGCGCGCGUAGGCGGCCAGAUAAGUCCGGUGUGAAAGUCACAGGCUCAACCUGUGAAUGCCGCUGGAAACUGUCUGGCUUGAGUCCGGAAGGGGCGAGUGGAAUUCCUGGUGUAGCGGUGAAAUGCGCAGAUAUCAGGAAGAACACCAAUGGCGAAGGCAGCUCUCUGGGACGGUACUGACGCUGAGACGCGAAAGCGUGGGGAGCGAACAGG
rnacentral:rRNA from 1 species